GAGUUUGAUCGUGGCUCAGGACGAACGCUGGCGGCGUGCCUAAUACAUGCAAGUAGAACGCUGAGGUUUGGUGUUUACACUAGACUGAUGAGUUGCGAACGGGUGAGUAACGCGUAGGUAACCUGCCUCAUAGCGGGGGAUAACUAUUGGAAACGAUAGCUAAUACCGCAUAAGAGUAAUUAACACAUGUUAGUUAUUUAAAAGGAGCAAUUGCUUCACUGUGAGAUGGACCUGCGUUGUAUUAGCUAGUUGGUGAGGUAAAGGCUCACCAAGGCGACGAUACAUAGCCGACCUGAGAGGGUGAUCGGCCACACUGGGACUGAGACACGGCCCAGACUCCUACGGGAGGCAGCAGUAGGGAAUCUUCGGCAAUGGACGGAAGUCUGACCGAGCAACGCCGCGUGGGUGAAGAAGGUUUUCGGAUCGUAAAGCGUCUGUUGUUAGGAGUAAGAACGUUAGGUAGGAG
rnacentral:rRNA from 1 species